UGGUGGAUUACAGUCCAUGCGGUCACAAAAGAGUUGGACACGACUUAGCAACUAUCAGCAGCAGCGGCACAACAGCUGUCCUGCUUGCAUCCUUGUGGUGGGUACGUCAGUACCGGACCCCCACUUGGGACCCCCAGGUGGGACCACCGUUCAACACCUCAGUGGACAAAGGACAGUGUGUUGAGGUGAGCGGUGCUGCGGUGUCGGGGUAUAGAGUCCACAGCCGGCAUGUGUGAGCCUGGGCUCCUGUGUCCCUCUGCAGGGUCCUCUCUGUGGAGAGCGGAGAUUGCCCUGGGUGUUAAAUGGCCUUUUCCCUAGCUGUCUCCUUAGCUACCCCAGGGCCUGGUGGUAUGGGUGAGGGUCCCCCUGCCAGAUAGGCAUGCAGCCUGACCCCACGCUUGAGGGCAAGCUUACAUCCCAGGACAUGUCAGCGCCCAGAGAAGAAAAGAGAUUUACACCAGAUUAUUGCCCAGUCCCUGUGCGAGUUCAGCGACCCACAGCCCCUGUCUUUUUUAGAACGGAAGUCGGAGGACAUUGGGCUGGGCUGAGGUUUGCUUUCUUUCUGGCUGGCCUUUCCUGCUCACUGAAGCCAAGCGUUGAAACGUCCAGCCCCCUCACUGCAAAUAUAUGAGGAACUUUGUAGUGAUCAUGAGUGGGUUGGCAGCUUUAUCUCUAGCUCACUGAGAAAAGUCCAACCUGAUUGUCAGAAGGACACACGCAGGCUGGUGCAGUCAGUGCCCAGAGUCCCUCACGCUGCGGAUGCUGGGAGGUGGGGUGAGGGUAGGCAGAAACAGAAAGACAUGCCCCCACCAUGUCACAUGAUCACACAUGUACGUUGGCAUUGACCCUGACCCUACGCCUUGACCUGGACAGAUCAAGGGGAGGUUCCAGGCCUGAGUCUCUGCAGGGUGCCUGGGUCCUAUGCCGACCCUUUGAAACUACUGGGAGAUUGCAGCCUGGAAGCCCGUGCGUGCACAUGCGUGUGCAUCUACUCGUGUGUCUGUGCAUGGACCUGUGGUGCGUGUGCGUGUUCGAGGCUGAGAAACGAUGGGAAGGGAGCGGGGUGGGCUGGCUCGUCCACCUGUCGUCCCUGUGACCUCAGUCCCACUGGGCCACAUCCAGGUCCCCAGGAGUUUUGUGUCCUUAUCCACAAACGGAGACAGUUGCGUAGUUCUCCCCCACGCCCCCACUGCCCCCACCCCAGGCCUUCCUGGCUCUGCUGCUUGGGCUGUGGAGGGAAAGUUGGUUGCAGGGAGGGCCUGGCCCUGUGUGGCCGAGCAUCCAGCUGAGGCCCUGGGGCCUGGCUCCCAGACCAGCUCCUGGGGCUGCGACCGCCUGGGGAGGACCUGGGCUGAAUCCGGCCCUGUCGAGGCGCCCAGGGAGAAGGCUGAUGCGUCCCACGGGUGGGGGCAGGGAGCCCCUCAUUAGAGCUGCAGCUGACACAGAGGCUUCCAUCUCACUAAUUGAUUAAACUGUUUAAUUCAGGCCUGUGUGGUGGGAACUGGCCUGGCCAGGCUGUCAGCAUUCCCUUCUGCGGAGUAAGAUUUGGGGCAGCUUUCUGUCUGAGCAGUGGUUCUGGGCGUCAUGUGACAGAGGAUCCGUGAGAUCAGUCAUGCAGGCCUGGGUGCCGUCCCCUCCCCCAAGGCCGCCCUUCUGAGCGGCUGUUUUGUGUGGUCAUAGUUGGCGGGGGCCCCCAGAGAGCUGGUGAGACCCCCAGAGGUGUGAGCUGACAUUCACUCUGAGUAGAGCCCGCUCUGUGCCGGCACAAUCCGGAGUCCCUGCCUGCUUGGCGAUUCCACUCGGGAUGGCAGGUGGCUAAGUGCUGUGAAAAAUUAGUACAUGGUAGUAGGGGGUUGGUGGUGUCUGUGGGGCUUGUGCUGGGGCAGAGGCCAAAGGAAGCCACCUCGAGGGGUCCUGAGAGUCCUCUGGGCGAGGGGCAUGCAGCCAUAGCCCUGAGCACUCUGAACACCCAUCGCCCCCACCUCCCCUCCCCUAGACCUUCCCACCAGGACAAACUCAGCCGGUGAUGCAGGAUGCAGGUCUGGGUCUCCCAGGGAGGCUCUGAGCCCUGGGAGGAGGGCAGGACCUCAGUUCCCAGUGCGGCUGGUUCCUCCUGGGCCAUGGCCAGUGCUCCUGGGGCUACACCUGCCCCAGGGUCCAGCCUGUCCUUCCUCAUGCAGUCACGGGUGAGCGUCCACCCAAGGACAGAUUGGGCUCCAGGGUUGGGGACGGACGCAGAGCCACACAGGGGACGCACCCCAAGCAGAAGCACGUAGAGUGGGGGCCUGGGGAACGUGAGGAAUCUGGUGUCAACACUGGCCAUUGUGUGCUGCCCCCGGGCGGGCGGCGAUUUAUAAAAACAGCCGUGAUCUGCCGCGUAUCCGUGCGGUGAGGUCACGGCUGCCAAGGGCUUUGGAAUUUUGUCUUCACAAGAAUUUUGCUUACCAAGCCACAUACUUUCCUGGUCAUCAAUUUGAUUGGGGUAAGAAGAAAAAAAUGCUUAAAAAAAAAAGCCUCUGUGGGUUUUGUGUGAGGGAUGGAGAGGGGAAGGCAGAGAAACAAAACUUCAGGGCCAGAAAGGCAGGUGUGUGUGUGUGUGUGUGUCUGUCUGUCUGUGUGUGUGUAUCUGUCUGUCUGUCUGUCUCUGUGUUAUGGCCCUCACACCUGAACCCAGAAAAGGCAAGUGUGUGUGUGUGUGUGUGUGUGUUGUGGUCCCAGCUAGACCCCUGCAGUGUCAGAGCCGGGGGCCCCACGGCCCCUCUUCAGCUUCCUGACCUGAGUCCUCGGUAGUCCUGUGGACCAGGGCUGGGGGCAGUGCAGAAGGACGUUCCCAUGCCAGCAUCCUACCGUGGUAAGAAGCACGGGGGCCUUCACCCCUCUUUCCCUUUUAGCUCUGCUGAACUGGACCAAAUGUCCAAAAGGAGCUCUACCAGAAGAGGAGGGAAAUAAAGAAAAUACAGACAAAGUAAAAAUAGUCCAGGGCACAUUCCUGAUCACAGGUAACUGGUGUCAGGCAGGCACCUCCCUUCAACCCAAUCUUUUCUGUUUCCACCUGGGCAUCUGCCUGGUACACCUCAGUGUAACUCAGACACAGAGGAGAGGAGACACAUCCCGGGCCAGGGGUACUCGAUGAGAUCACACCAUUCAUAGCAAAGACCAUGUGACUUCUGCCCCCAGCCCCCACAGGAGGCUGUCGCUCACCGGCGCCGGCCCUCUGCCACCAAACGCCCACCUCCUCUAGCAUUUGACACCAAAUCAAAGCGAAAGGCGGGACACACGCUGAUCACACAUGUGCAAGUCGCUAUCAUCGCGGGGUUAUGAGCUUAUAAAUCCCACUCAGUGAGGGGCGAGCUCUCAAGGCUGAAGGAAGGUCAGCCAAGCCCACGGGCGGCCCCUUGGCCCCAGGUGGAAGCACUUUCCUUCUAGGGCCCCCAGGGCCUGCGAGAAGCCUCUGCCUCCACCCACGUAGAAGAGGCCGAACCCAGGACCGGCCUUCGUUUCCUGAUGAGAUAGCGAGUGCAUUCUGCUGGGCACUGGCAGCUACCUUCCACCUCUGGAAGGGCCUCCACAUGGACUGGCUACAGAUUCAGGGGGAGUCUGCGCUGAUCCAGGCGCCUGCCCACACUCCUGCCUGAGACCCUUGCCGCCUGCCACCAGGACCAGAGGAUGACCUGAGCCUGACAAUCAGAAUCUCUCACCAGGAUUUAAACCCAGCUUUGUUGGGGUCUCGGCACCGGGCAGUGGACAACACCCCUGCCUGCGAGACACCAGACCCGUCCUGGGUGGAGACCCUCAGCCCACAGGAUGCCCUACUUCAGGCCUGGUUCGUGUUUGCUCCUGGCAUCUGUCAGGAUGACAAAUGUUGGAGCGAUUUUAAAAUCUGGAUUUAAAGUGCCUUGUGAAGGAAAUGAAAAUCAGAGCAAUUGAAACAAACUUGCUGGAUCCUUUGGGGAGACAAUUGCUGGACUGAGGGCUGCUGUGGGCGGUCUUGGCUGUCACGGCCCUGGCCUGGCUGGGCCAGGACUGUUGGUCCCGGACAUGGGAGGAAACAGGAGGGAAUUUGGUCAUUGUUGUUGUUCGUUGUUCAGUAGCUAAGUUGUGUCUGACUCUUUGC